rnacentral:misc_RNA from 1 species
CCAUCCAUGCACGAGACGGGGGAGGGGCUUUUGUGAAGAGCCUAGACAAGACGUGCAAAGAACGUGUUUGGCUUGUCGCGCAUCUCCGUACGUCUCCGCGGCGCACCUCGGCACACACCGACACGGCCGUGCCCGCAAGCACAGCAAGAGCAUCCAUCAGACGACACAUUCACACGUGCGCGGGUGUGCGUGCGCUGCUCGUCAGAGGUGUGCUGCUUCAUAGAGAUUAAGAUUGGCAGGCCUGCGGCGAACGAAACGUGGCAGUGGCCUUCCAGCUCCCUCACCUCCGCACGACGGCGUCUUUAGGCGGGUCACCGAAGCCAUGUCGGAGCGCGUUCAUGUUGUUGUGCGUAUCCGCCCCUUCAUCGCCUCUGACCCACCCGAUGCAGAGCUGAACACGCUCGUGCUCGACCCGACGCACGUCAGCGUGGGCAACAACCGCGUCUUCAAGGCGGAUCGAGUGUACAUGAUGGAGGACGCCACGGAGGUCAUCUACGCCGAGUCCAUAGCGCCGCUGAUCAGCCGCUUUCUUCGGGGAUUCAACACCAGCGUCCUCGCGUACGGCCAGACAGGGACGGGCAAAACCUUUACGGUGCAGUCCCUCCUGCCUCUGUUGCUGACGGACAUCAUGGCAGACAAGGGUCUGCGCAGCGGCGCGGCAGGGGCACCCAGCGCAGAGACGUCGACCUCGCUCACGGCAAAAGCACCACUGCUGUACCUGCAGUACGUUGAGGUGUACGGUGAAACGAUCCGCGACCUGCUGGAAGGCCCGGCCGCCGCCGCGUUGCGCAGCGACGGUGAAGAGCCCAGCAAGAUCCGCCUCGUGACGACGACGGCACCGGGGGCGCGGGCGACCAGCCCGUCUUCGGAGCGCGCGGACCGGCAACUUUCUCCCAUAGACGAACGUGACGCCGCAGCAUCGCCGACGGCAGGCUGUGUUCUUGUAGGCGCCACCAUCGUCCCCAUCUUCACGCUCGCGCAGGCGGCGGAGCUGAUCGCUCGCGGUGGCACUCGACGCGCAACCGGGUCUACAAACGUACACGCGCACUCGAGCCGGAGUCACGCCAUCCUCACCCUCUUUCACGCUCGCUACGCGUGCCGGCUCGACGUUGUCGACUUGGCCGGCUCAGAGAGAGAGAAGAAGACGGGAAACGUGGGCGUGCGCUUCCAGGAGAGUAUCGCCAUCAACACUGGACUGCUGGCGCUGGGCAACGUCAUGCGUGCGCUGAGUCGCAUCCAUAGAGCUGCCAACGGCAAGGAGGCGGGCCGGGGUGGUGGGGCAGGGCAUCAACGGGCGCAGCACGUUCCCUACCGCAGCAGUCGCCUGACGCGUCUGUUGCAGGACACCCUCGGCGGCAACAGCGCCACGGUGCUCAUCGCCUGCGUUGCACCCGACACGUACAACCGCGAUGAGACGCUGCGGACGCUGCAGUACUGCUCCCUCGCGCUGCGCAUUCUGAACGAGCCGCUGCAGCAGUACGAGCGACUUCGACGCGCACAGUCGCCGCUGUGUCGUCGUGGAAGCCCCUCCGCCGCCGCCGCGGUCUCGCCACUGUCGCUGCGCGAGGGUUCAUACACGGCCACCGCAGCUACGAGGGCUUGCAGGGACAGCGAGGAGGCAGACGAGCCGAAGAUGACCCAGCUGAAGGUGCUCGAGCUGCAGUCUGCCUACGCCAGUCUCCAGCAGCAGUACGACGAGCAAGCCGAGGUGAUUGCCAACAUGUGCGCGUCGCACGCAACAACGAAGGAGCGGCUGGCGCUGUGCGAGCGGGAGCUCCGCAAGGACGAGGGCAUCUUCACCCAGCAAAUACGUGCCAUGCAGGAGCUCGUGUGCGAGAACCGAAAGCUGCGGCGGCGGCUCGCGAAGGUAUGUGCCCCCCCCACUACCACCACCAACACUACAGCAGCAGCGACCGCUGGACGCGAUAAAGCAGCCAUGGCGCACGACCCGCUCUUCCGUGGCGGUGAUGGCCUACCUGAGUCCACUUGCACAGAAACGGACUCGCACCAUGGUGACAAGGACCUUACGGACGCCGUGCGCCACCUGCUGCUCGCUGGUGAUCGCGAUGCCGCGGGCAGAAUGGGUGUCUCACUGCAGCUUGCACCCUCGCACUCUCAAGGCCACCGUCAGCAACACUCAGCCCCAGUAGCUGCCGCCGCGGCUACUCGACCGCCGCUGUCGGCCCAUUCGCCGCACCGCUCGCAGGACGUCAGGGAUGGUGUCACGGGCGGCACUCAGUACGUGCCACUCGAGGAGUUACCGCUGGCAGUGGCACACCAAGCCGGGGUGCGGGUCGACGAUGGCCGCGGAGGUGCAGAGACACCGACAUACCCAGGGGCGGGGGGGCGCACAGAGGCUUCUCACGCGCUGGACGGCAUGACGCCUGGCGGUGCUGCUGCUCCAACUCCUGCAGAGCCUGCCCAGUCGUUCAUCCGCUACAUUCUCGGCCUGCAUGGCAUCGAUCCAGAAGCUGAGCAAGCAGGUGACGUUGACGGUGAUGACGGAAGAGGGCGGGCAGGAGCGGGAGCGGUGGCGGUGGCAGCCACGUCUCUCCAGUCGUCCAUCCGCAAAUCCGCGGCCACGAGCGUAGGUGGGGUGGCGCUGGAACCUGCAGAAGUAUCGGAGACAACCGCAGGGAGCAGCCGCGAUGACCACGCGCGACAGGAAGGUGCACCAUCGCCUCUGAACUACGCUCUGUCGCGCCGCUCCGGCCGCUUCGCCGCGUCCUUUCCUCCGCAAACGAUGGGGGCGCUCUCUGAGGGAGAGCACAGCAGCUGGGAAAGGCAGGUGGAUCGCCGGGGAGGCGGCGCUGAUGCAGCUCAGCUAGACAGCUCGGCGGUGCUGCUGCUGGCGAAGGAGGUGCUGCGUUACCAAGGAACGAAUGCGGAGUUGCGCAACCAGGUCCAGGUACUUCAAGCAGAGCUGGAUGGUAAGCAGCGAGAGGCAGCGCUGCUGCGUCUGGAGCUGCAAGAAAUGAAGGAACUCUUCACGACGUAAAGGCGGCCUUCAGUCCCUCUGUGUGUCGGCCAAGCUCCCUCGCACGCUCACGCGUGCUGCUCAUACCCUGUAUCACCUGCACGCAAUACAUACCGAUGCGCACGUGCAAGCCCCGGCUCCGUGAGCUGUUAAGCUGAUGCAGGCAAAGCCACUGGGCCCAUCCGCUUGGCACUGGUCCGAGCCCGUCACGGACAUCAUAUACGAUGCUGGCGGCAGACACUUGAGUCUGCGUAUGCUUGCUCGGUGUGCCCCCUCCCACCCUCCCCACGCGCGCACAUGCACGCGCAUGCGCCGUCUAUCUCUCUGUCUCUCUCCCUCUCCUCACGCGCACGCGCGCUCUCUCACAUCGCUCGGGCGCGUUGGGCUUUUCCGUCUUGUCGAGAUUCAUCGCACGCGUGCACGCACGCGCACAG